GAGUUUCCCGGAAAGGGGGACAAACCCAAGAAGACGAGAGAGACGGGAAUUUUUUUUAGCGAUUUUUGUUUUGGGAGAACGGGAUUGACGCCGGGGAAAGCCUUUCCGGGCGGGCGUUUCGAGGGGGGGGUUUGACGGGAGAGAGGCCACGGAAGGGAACUUUUAGGCCCACCAGGGGCAUUUCCAGUUGGAACAAGAGUCCACUAUUAAAGAACGUCGGACUCCAACGUAAAGGGCGAAAAACCGUCUAUCAGGGCGAUGGCACUACGUGAACCAUCACCCUAAUAAGUUUUUUGCCCGGUCGAGGUGUUGUAAAGCACUAAAC
rnacentral:precursor_RNA from 1 species